CCCAUCAUGGCUGAGUGACUGGGCUGUUGCUGGGCAGGUCUGAGUCAAAGGACACAGGUAGCACCACCCUGCCACGCGCUGCUGGCUGUGGCGGAGGCAGGAUGGGGCUGACCCCCGCAGGGCGCCGGUGAGGUAGAGCUGCGGGGCGGACAGCUGGUGUCUUUGUGUGGAGCUGCACUAAUGGUCACUUUGAGCCACGCUAUUCACCACCAGGUUCACCCCCAUGACACGUCCGUAUAAACACUUCCAAGAAGGGGGAAUAAGUUUCCCACAGUCCGCUGAGAGCAGCAGCCCACCUGGAGGUUCUGGAGGAGUUCGCCGUAGUUAAACUCUGCGGAGGUCCGGUCGUCGGGCUCGGACAGGGACAGGUUGAGCCGAACGGUCGCCCUCUGCUCGGCGGCAGCCUGCUCCCUGUCGCCGUUAGUGGCGCUGCCUCCUGCCCCGCUGCCUGCCUCUGCCUCUCCGGCUCUGUCCAAGUUGAAAUCGGCCUCCUCCUCCUCCUCCAGCCGGCGUUUCCUGGACUCCGCGGCCGUUCCGGCUGCGAAGGCCGACAGGGUGACAAACUGCACUUUUCUCGGUUCGGCCAUUUGGAUGAGCUCGCUCCGGACAGACAGCGACACCCCGACAAGAGCGACUUCGCGAAACUACUCCAAAUCGGUGGUUGAAGAAGGUUCCGCGGAGCUCCGGCGGCGGCUGGGGGCCUAGACGGAGCGGAGAGCCUCCUCCGCAGCGGGCGGGCUGAACUCCAGGCGAUGCGACGGUCGAGGGAAAGUUGUCUUUUCAGCAGCUGCUCUCAUCCUCGGUUCGCUAUGGGGCUGAGACAUUCACAGGAGCCAUCUUGGGUUUCGGGAGUAAAUAAAAUAUCAUCGGAGAGGCGUCGGUGCGCACGCGCGUACUCACACAAAACGGAACCAUGUGCCACGGGGGAGCGCUUCACGGCCAAUCAGAGCCCGCCGGACCGUAGGCCCCGCCCCCUUCACAACAGGCGAUAAUAACAACACUGAGAAUUUCCUGAUCGACCAGAUAAGCCUGGUCCUUCAAGCCUUGGAAGGAAUCUAUGCGUCUCUCUGAGACUAAGGAAAACAUCCACCACUUCAGUUUGCAGUCCACUUAAGGAAAACUCGUUGACAGUCCGCUCCGCUGCUCCUCUGGACCUCUACAAGUCUGCCUGUCCGCCGUUCUUCUGGUUCAACCUGUGAGUCCUUCCUGGCUAUGUUUUAUCAACCUGUAAAUCCCAAGGACCUUGAACUCAUCACUCUGAUCUCCCUUUAAAGUUUCCGGUUCCGGUUCACCUGAUCGCUGGAUAUUCCCCAAGCCUAGAAUCCUUGGUUUAUGUCCCUCUCAGUGCCAUUAUCUCAAUAAACUGUUAAGCUUU